rnacentral:lncRNA from 1 species
GUCUUGCUCCUCAGAACGCUCCUGAGCAGUUGACUCCGGAGUAGUUCCUGGAAGGCCAGUAUCCCAGAGCUAUUUCUCACAGUGUCAGGGCUGCGUGUCCUUGUUUCUCCCCCCUCUUACCCAGAGCAACCUCUGAAUUCUUCUAGCCUGAACCUGCAUUCACACGACAACGUGAAGUCAUGUGGCAUGAAGUCACAUGAUGAUUUCAUUCUAGGUGACUGUGAGGUGACGUGGACCAGAUUCAGUGGGCUCCGCUCUCCUCAGGGACUUAGCAUGGCACAAACGGAACAAUUUAAGGAUUUGAAAAUACUUAUCACACUGGAGUGAAGAAGGAGGCAGAGCUGCUGAGCUGGAAGUCAUUGUUGUCAUUAUAACAAAAGUUAUUGAGGACUCACAAUUCCUGGGCUGGGCCAGGCCCCACCUUGGGGGGUGAGAACUGGAGGAUCGCUGUCAUUCCCCUGACUCUGUGUGAGAUCUGGCUUGAGGGCACGGGCCAGCUCCAGGUGGUUGCUGGAUGGACACGCUCUCCUCAGGAGUGCCGGAUGCCGAGUCCAGGGAGGAGAGAUUUCACAAGCCAGAGGAACCUUAGGCAGGUAGGUGGUUUGGAAAUGGCUGACUUUAUGGCCCCACCUCUGGGU